UACGGAGGGUGCAAGCGUUGUCCGGAAUCAUUGGGCGUAAAGCGCACGUAGGCGGCUCUUUAAGUCUCUUGGUGAAAGGCUGGGGCUCAACCCCAUGCAUGCCAGGGAUACUGGGGAGCUGGAGACAGGUAGAGGCCAGCGGAAUUCCGGGUGUAGCGGUGGAAUGCGUAGAGAUCCGGAAGAACACCGGAGGCGAAGGCGGCUGGCUGGACCUGAUCUGACGCUGAGGUGCGAAAGCGUGGGGAGCGAACAGG
rnacentral:rRNA from 1 species